ACGUUCACAGUUAACUUUAGGUAAUUUAACUCUACAUUGUGAUCGAUAAUGCCCAUAAUUCUUGCAACGAAAACACUGAAUUUUGGACUUAUCAUACCCUCCAUUACCAAAAGUUUGUUGACCAGAGUUACUUUUCUGAGAGGGGGCACCAAUCUUGUGGCUCGUACUCUUACCAUCCUUGUCUUGUGUUGAUCCUUUACCACCACUGGAACUGCUUUUGUUGAACAUAGUUACCUUGCUUUGAAAAGCUUGCUCAACAGGCUCGGCUGACCUCUGAUUCAUUCG
rnacentral:lncRNA from 1 species